CACAGAUUCUUUCUCUGUGCCACAUGGUGGUAUCAGCAAUUCAAUUCCUGCUCUCUUCAGUGCCUCUUUCAGUGUUAUGAAGUUAAACCACACACCAACAGACAUCUGCUCAUAGAAGUUGAUGCCAGAGAACUCACAGCAUAGAAGUGGAGCCCCCAGCAUUUGUGCAGAUCAUUGUGGCAACAAUGUGGAGAAUGCAUUUCAGAAGCAAAUAGUUAGAGGCGAUGGAACCAGUUAAGCAGCCG